AAAACAAAACUGAGGUACCUUAGAGGAGGCUGCGUUUACCAUUAGUUUGCUAUUGAUAAAAUCUUACACUAACUUAUCUUCAAGAACACACUUAUGGUGUCUUUGAAAUAUUAUGUGCUGAAAAGGUGUGCACAUUUUCUUUUAAACUCUUUCACACAGAAAAAAUACCUCCUGAAAGAAUAACACACUCCUACCUCUUCUUUGCUAAUCUUCCCCUCAAUAACUUGUAUGGUAUUCUCCAACUCCUCCCCUCCCCAGGAAAGGGAGGAGGAACAGAAAGCAGGAAGCAAGGUAAAAAUGACUGAGCUACUGAGAGAAUCAAAAGAAGAAAAGUAGGAGCCCAAGGAGUAGAAAAGAUUGUAGAGAAAAACCAAUGCUCUUGAAAUCUCCAGCUGAUUCUGUCCUUCUAUAUUAACAUUAUUAUUAUGUAUGUUUUCUAGAAAAAAAUGAAAGGAAUCUUAUGGGUUCUCUUGUGUUUAGGUGAAGGGCAAUUGCUAUUUCCUAGUCGUGACCAGGCUGCUACACCACAGGAGCUGCAGUGGAGUACAUUGUUCUCUCCUGUCUGUUUGAAAAAUAUUUCCAGUCAGAAGACAGUCACAUGAAAUAUAUUUGGCCUAAAUUCUCCCUUGGUACUACUAAUCACUUUUCUUUCCACCCACAAUAUCUUUCUUUGCUUAUGCUUUAUUAUUCAUUGGUAUUCAAAUAAAGCCUAGCUCAACUCUGACACACAAAGGUGUGUGUGUGUGUAUGUGUGUGUGUGUGUGUGUGUGUGUGUGUUU